rnacentral:rRNA from 1 species
CCUACGGGGGGCUGCAGUGGGGAAUAUUGGACAAUGGGGGGAACCCUGAUCCAGCCAUGCCGCGUGUGUGAAGAAGGCCCUCGGGUUGUAAAGCACUUUCAGUGAGGAAGAACGCCUGGUGGUUAAUACCCAUCAGGAAAGACAUCACUCACAGAAGAAGCACCGGCUAACUCCGUGCCAGCAGCCGCGGUAAUACGGAGGGUGCGAGCGUUAAUCGGAAUUACUGGGCGUAAAGCGCGCGUAGGUGGCUUGAUAAGCCGGUUGUGAAAGCCCCGGGCUCAACCUGGGAACGGCAUCCGGAACUGUCCAGCUAGAGUGCAGGAGAGGAAGGUAGAAUUCCCGGUGUAGCGGUGAAAUGCGUAGAGAUCGGGAGGAAUACCAGUGGCGAAGGCGGCCUUCUGGACUGACACUGACACUGAGGUGCGAAAGCGUGGGUAGCAAACAGGAUUAGAUACCCGUGUAGUC